AGGAUUAUAGUUUAAUUAAAACAUUUGAUUUGCAUUCAAAAAUUAUUUAUGAAAAUUUAUCUUA
rnacentral:tRNA from 1 species